CGUCUGGUUCACCUCGUACUCGAAUAUUAUAUCGGCUUAAAUAGGCUAGCAUCCUGCCCUGUGGUGGGAGGCUAUGUUGGGUCGAGUCAUAUUCGAAAUGGCGUGAGGCUAGAUGAGUCGAGUCACAAUCGAGAUCCGUGGGCGCUGUAUCUGUACGCUUUAAGUGAAUUGAUUGCGUAUUUCUAGCAGCUCGAGCUUUUGAGAUUAAUGGUUAACGCCAACGAUCCGACAUGUUAGAGUUUCGUUGAGCUUUAAUG
rnacentral:lncRNA from 1 species